UCAUUUUCCCCCCUUAAAUCGAUUGAUGUGAUUUGCAUUGGGAUUAUCCUACCACCUUGUGCUUCAGAGACGGCGUGUGUGCCAUCCCAUUCAUUACCGUGAGAAUGGUGGUCAGUGCAUGUAAAACCAACUUCAUUAUAGGCUUCCUUGGGAUUGAAAUGAACACAAUCAUUCAUACACAUAUAUAUCAGUUUCUCUCUCUCUCUCCUUUUGAGACAGGCUUCCAUUAUGUAGCUCUGGCUGCUUUUUAGACUCACAAAGAUCCACCUCUCUACACUGGGAUUAAAGGAAUGCACCACCAGGUUUGGUUAUAACAGUUUCCUAGAAGAACACAAAAUACUUUGUUUUCUCCUUACGGAAACUAAUAAGUAAAUGAUGACCUAGAAGUAUCUUUUUAUAAAGUGUGAUCCUAUGUUUUCAAAGUAAGUGUAAGUCUAUGCAGCUCUGUAUGAACAGCUACUUCAAUAUAAUUUAUUGCUCAUCUAAAGAGUCCUUUUAGUUUUAGUUAAAUAUCUUUAUAUCUCCCAGUUUCCCUCUUACUCUAACUUUUGGUGGCUUAAGUUCUUUACAGUUGAAGUGGGAUUGAGGUCACUUUGUCCCCAUCAGCACAUAGAAUCAUUGCUGAAUGGCAGCAGGUUUGCUGGCUUGGAGGCACUGCCUGGUGGGAGGGUACACAUUAACCUAUGAAGGCAAUUGUUUUUGGUGUGUGUGUGUGUGUGUGUGUGUGUGUGUGUGUGUGUGUGUGUGUGUGUGUGUGUGUGUGUGUGUGUGUGUGUG
rnacentral:lncRNA from 1 species